AAACUGAGAACUUUCUUCAACUAAUUGCAGUACCAGAAACUAGGUUUUAAAAUGGAAAUACAUGUUUGAUAUAAUAGGUUUAUCUUUCAAAACUACACAUUUGACACAUGAUGUAAAGCAACAGGAAGUACACAACAGGGACCAAAUACUGAGUUCUUUCUUACAGACAAAGCUAAUAAAACUCUUUCGAUUCAGCAUACCUCUGCAAACCCCUCACCUCAGCUGUGUUUUAGCAUACUGAAGAUGUCUCAGUGCAGUAACUUUCCACCAGUUGUAAUAUUUCAGUGUAAAUUCAAACAAAUAUAGUAUAUGCUGUACAAGGACAUAAUAGGGGAAGCUAAAUUUAUUGUAAAUCAUAUCGUGUGACGGGCCUGUAAAUUCACUGAAGAGUGAUUUACAAUAGCUUGAGUGCAUGCGGCUAAACACAGGGACAGCAAGCCUGCGAGCCAGCCUCGAUCCUGGGGAACGGUUUGUUUUCCUCUCUCCCCAUGCACUUUGUGUUUCCCAUAUAGGGCUGCUGCUGCAGGCUGUUGUUUCCAUUCUUUGCCGAGCCGAGCUGUCACAUGCUCGCUAUGUUUUUUGACCAUAAAUUCCGCUGUCUCGUUGUGUGAAGUCAGCAUAUUCCAAAGGAGAUGUAUUAAACGGAUUCCUGUUGCCAUUAUUUUUAAGUCUGACAAAAAGGCAGUUGCUGACUAAGGUACCACCUGCGGGUAAAGCAACAGCAUGAAGCCUCGGACGAAGCUCUUUGGACAAAGCUACACAUCCGGUACAAAACCUGGAUUAAUGAAAAAGACAGGGGGAGGUUAGGACAGUGCCUGGCGAGUCACUGAAGAGGAUAGCCCUUGACAAAUGAUCUGCAAUUGCACUGCUGUGGGACUACAAUGCAAUAGCAACGGGUCUCUAUAUGUUCAUUCCAUGGUACAAAAUAGCCAUGGACUUGCACUGAAUGGAAUACCAGUGUGUAUUAAUUGAUAGCACAGACUGUCACUGUAGUGCUGCAAUCACCCCUCCAUUGAGAGUCACUGCAUUGCAUGCAAUAUGAAACCCCACACAAACUGUAUAACCCUAUCUGAAACUUAUCUUUGAAACUAGUCAGAAUAAUUGUACUACCAUAGUACACAUGUCACUGUAAUCCUUAUUUCUUUGUGUGAGUAUGUAUUUAUUUCAUUAAUAAACUAAUAUUCUUUAA